CUAAUACCGGAUAUGACCUGCAGUUGCAUGACUGUGGGUGGAAAGAUUUAUCGGUGCGAGAUGAGCCCGCGGCCUAUCAGCUUGUUGGUGGGGUAAUGGCCUACCAAGGCGACGACGGGUAGCCGGCCUGAGAGGGCGACCGGCCACACUGGGACUGAGACACGGCCCAGACUCCUACGGGAGGCAGCAGUGGGGAAUAUUGCACAAUGGGCGGAAGCCUGAUGCAGCGACGCCGCGUGAGGGAUGACGGCCUUCGGGUUGUAAACCUCUUUCGACUCCGACGAAGCGAAAGUGACGGUAGGAGUAUAAGAAGCACCGGCCAACUACGUGCCAGCAGCCGCGGUAAUACGUAGGGUGCGAGCGUUGUCCGGAAUUACUGGGCGUAAAGAGCUUGUAGGCGGCUUGUCGCGUCGAUCGUGAAAACUCGGGGCUCAACCCCGAGCUUGCGGUCGAUACGGGCAGGCUUGAGUACUUCAGGGGAGACUGGAAUUCCUGGUGUAGCGGUGAAAUGCGCAGAUAUCAGGAGGAACACCGGUGGCGAAGGCGGGUCUCUGGGAAGUAACUGACGCUGAGAAGCGAAAGCGUGGGUAGCGAACAGGAUUAGAUACCCUGGUAGUCCACGCCGUAACGGUGGGUACUAGGUGUGGGUUUCCUUCCACGGGAUCCGUGCCGUAGCUAACGCAUUAAGUACCCCGCCUGGGGAGUACGGC
rnacentral:rRNA from 1 species